ACACAUGCAAGUCGAACGGGAAUUACUUUAUUGAAACUUCGGUCGAUUUAAUUUAAUUCUAGUGGCGGACGGGUGAGUAACGCGUGGGUAACCUGCCUUAUACAGGGGGAUAACAGUCAGAAAUGGCUGCUAAUACCGCAUAAGCGCACAGAGCUGCAUGGCUCGGUGUGAAAAACUCCGGUGGUAUAAGAUGGACCCGCGUUGGAUUAGCUUGUUGGUGGGGUAACGGCCCACCAAGGCGACGAUCCAUAGCCGGCCUGAGAGGGUGAACGGCCACAUUGGGACUGAGACACGGCCCAGACUCCUACGGGAGGCAGCAGUGGGGAAUAUUGCACAAUGGGGGAAACCCUGAUGCAGCGACGCCGCGUGAAGGAAGAAGUAUCUCGGUAUGUAAACUUCUAUCAGCAGGGAAGAUAGUGACGGUACCUGACUAAGAAGCCCCGGCUAACUACGUGCCAGCAGCCGCGGUAAUACGUAGGGGGCAAGCGUUAUCCGGAUUUACUGGGUGUAAAGGGAGCGUAGACGGUGUGGCAAGUCUGAUGUGAAAGGCAUGGGCUCAACCUGUGGACUGCAUUGGAAACUGUCAUACUUGAGUGCCGGAGGGGUAAGCGG
rnacentral:rRNA from 1 species